GAUGAACGCUGGCGGCGUGCCUAAUACAUGCAAGUCGAGCGAACGGACGAGAAGCUUGCUUCUCUGAUGUUAGCGGCGGACGGGUGAGUAACACGUGGAUAACCUACCUAUAAGACUGGGAUAACUUCGGGAAACCGGAGCUAAUACCGGAUGAUAUUUUGAACCGCAUGGUUCAAAAGUGAAAGACGGUCUUGCUGUCACUUAUAGAUGGAUCCGCGCUGCAUUAGCUAGUUGGUAAGGUAACGGCUUACCAAGGCAACGAUGCAUAGCCGACCUGAGAGGGUGAUCGGCCACACUGGAACUGAGACACGGUCGAGACUCCUACGGGAGGCAGCAGUAGGGAAUCUUCCGCAAUGGGCGAAAGCCUGACGGAGCAACGCCGCGUGAGUGAUGGAGGUCUUCGGAUCGUAAAACUCUGUUAUUAGGGAAGAACAUAUGUGUAAGUAACUGUGCACAUCUUGACGGUACCUAAUCAGAAAGCCACGGCUAACUACGUG
rnacentral:rRNA from 1 species